UACUAUUAUAUUCGCGUUACGGUCAGCGCAGACAGAAAGGAGCGCAGCGGAGAGGAUUUUACUAACGCACUUGAAAAUAAACUUUAAAAUGAUUAAACUAAAGUGCAUAAAUGCUUGAACCUUACGAGAAAUGCUCGCGCGUCCUCGAGGAUACGCGGGAAU